GCUCCUAUAUUUCCUGCCCCCAUGGUGGUAAUGAGAAGAGGGCAUGUGAUAAGAUCUUAAGACUAUAAGCCAUAGGAGCAGAAUUGGGUCAUUCUGCCUGUCUUCUGCUCUGCUAGUCCAUCAAGGCCGAUUUAUUAUUUUGCGUAACCCCAUUCUCCUACCUUCUCCUUGUAACCUUUGAUGCUUUUACCAAUCAAGAACCUAUCAACCUCCACUUUAAAUAUACCCAAUGACUUGGUCUCCAAUCUUCCACAGAUUCACCACCCUCUAGCUAAAGAAACUCUUCUUUGUCUCUGGUCUAAAGGGCUGUUCUUCUAUUCUGAGGCUGUGCCCUCUGGUUCACAGAAUCUCCCACUAUUGGAACCAUCCUCUCCACAUCCACUCUAUCUAGACCUUUCAAUGUAUCAUAAGUUUCUGUGAUUGUCAGGGUCCUUAGUCAUUGGUGCUACCUUUUUGAGGCACUGCCCCUUGAAGAUGUCCUCAGUGGUGGGGAGGGUUGUGCCCGUGACUGGACUGGCUGGGUCUAAACCCUCUGCAGCCUCUCACAAUCCUGUGCACUGGGGCUUCCAUACCAGGCUGUGAUAGAACCAGUUAGAAUGCUAUCCACUGUCACUUGUAAGAGUUUUUGGUGACAUGCCAAAUCACAAACUCCACUGCUCUGCUCUCUCUACACCUAUGACCGUGUGGCUAGGCACAGCUUAAAUGCCAUCUAUAAACUUGCUGAUGACACAACUAUUGUUGGCAGAAUUUCAGAUGGUGACGAGGUGGCAUACAUCAACAAGAUAGAUCAGCUGGUUGAGUGGUGUCACAGCAACAACCUUGCACUCAAGGACAGUAAGACCAAGGAAUUGAUUGUGAACUGGAUGACGGAUGCUGACUGACUGGCUGAGUUCCUCUGUCAGUUUGUGAGAUUUCCAUCACCUGCCGCUGCCUGUAAGGAGUUUGUACGAUCUCCCUGUGACCAUGUGGAUUUCCUCCGGGUGCUCCGGUUUCCUCCCACAGUCCAAAGACAUAACGGGGCUGUGGACAAUUCUGAUUUGAUGAAGACGGAUGUGAAAGCACAGAGGAACAUUUGGAAAAAUUUCUGAAACGCUCGACCGCUGCUGUCGUUACUGCGCGGUCGAGAAUCUUUCGGAGGGAAGGCCUCAAAAUCCCCAGCUUUGCCUGCUGUUGGCGACCGAGAAGGGGGUCGAAUUGUUCGGAUAGUGAUGGCACUCAGUACUCGGUGUCGGAGAGCUGAUCAGAGCUCGAAGUUUUCGGAUGACUCAGAGUUGGACCGUGGUUGGGUAUGGCAGGGAGAGUUUUUCUUCCUUCUCUCCGCCUGCGUGAGAUGUGGGACAUUCGAGAGACUUUGAACUUUUACUGUGCUCAUGGACUUCUUCAUCAAGUUAUGGUAUUGUUGCACUGUUGUAACUAUAUAUUAUAAUUAGUGGUUUUGUUAGUCUUUUUUCAGCCUUGGUCUGUCCUGUGUUUUGUGAUAUUACACUGGAGGAAAUAUUGUAUCAUUUCUUAAUGCAUGCAUUUCUAAAUGACAAUAAAAGAGGACUGCGUGUCUUCGUAAUCUAAAGUCUAUUCAAAAAGUGGAGGCAUUUGAGAGAUUGGGACAAUGAAUGAAUGAGAAUUGGAGUGAGUUAGAAUGUGGAUAACGUGAACAAGCUUUAACACUGCGAAACAAUUAGGUUAGACAUUGACACCAGAUAGGUAUUGGGAAUAUUGAUAAUAGGUUAGUUGUCAGAUGUACCAAGAUACAAUGAAAAAUUUUGCUGUGUGUGCCAACCAUAUGGAUCAUUUCAAAAUGCAGGUACAUUGAGGGCAUUCAAAGGGAGCUGCAGUAUCACAAUGCAGAAUAUAAGUGAAUAAAGCCCAAAAGAAGAGUCGUGAGCCACUCAGUUCUUUUGAGAAAAAGCCAGAGAAAUAAUUUUAUUAAUCAAAUUACAGGUUAAGAGCCAGAUGUUAAUCACCACCAGAAGUUUCAGUUAGUUGUUUUUGACAAGCUAAAUAUAUUCAACUUUGUUUGGCUGUUGGUGAUUGUGAUUAUCCUCUGCUUCUCAGAAAUGCUGGCACUAAUUCAUCGUAAUUUACCUUAAUAAGAUGGUAGUUAAUAGAUUAGCUGCAUUUUAUCAAUGAGGCCAGUUGAGUGGUUAUUUAUUUGUGUCAAAAGUACAAACUCUUGAAGUAAAUCUGGAUGAUCAAAAGUAGUAUAAAGGAAAACUGUUAACAAAAAUAGUCUUUCUUCCCCCUGGCAGACUGCUAAUGAAUGUUCCAUUGUUUUACAGUGGAAUGGGGACCUGGAGUGAUUUACCGCAUGAGGUACAUGAGCCUCAUUUACAGUGCUGAAAGCACUUCAUUGUUCAUUAAAACCAUUUUUUUUUCUUGUUGUUAUUGCUCAGAUCAGGGAUAAAAACUUUGCAAUAAGAUCCAUCACUGCAUUAAGAAGAAUCAAAUGCUUCUCUUCGGUAUUCUCGAAUGUUUUAUCAAUAAACAUUGUGAUUGUUACAAUGCUGGUUGUAUCUAGUAUUUGCAGGUUGUUUUGUAUUAAUAAAAUAUAGUGCAAAACAUUGAAUAUGCAAUCAUUCACUAGUAUGAUUUUUUUAUGAUAUGAAUAAAAUAUUGAAGGUUCUUAAGGUUUUUAUGUUAUCAGGCUGAAAUUAAUUCUGGGUAUUAUUUGAUAACUUGAUGAAUACCAUCAAACAGUGUCAAUUUUAUCAAGCAAAUCUAAGCUAAUUGAAUGGUCUUAUCCAGAAGUAUUUAUAUGCUUGCCCAGCAUUGACUCUGGUUCAUAAAUGAGCUUGAUCCCCUCAGCAAUGAAUGAUGCAGCAAUAAUAAACGAGCACAUGGCAAUUUGUUAGACAUAGCAGGCAGUUGUUAUUGUGCCUCUGCUUUGUUGAUCAUUUCAAUAUGUUUAUUGUGAGCACCGUUUUGAGUGAAGUUACAAGAACAAGAUAAAAUCUUUAAACUUGCUAAAUGCAUAUUCUUCACUGACAAUAGAAAAUUACCGUACACAAUUGAUUAACACCUAGAAUUACGUAGCAAAAAUUCCAAGCUUGUUCAAGAGACACUUGGGUACUUUGAUGGGUGUCUGUAAAUUCUUAAGAGGACGAUGGACUGAUUUACUCUGUCUUAUUGAUACCUACUUCUGUGCUUUGUUAAUAACUUACAAAUAUUCUUCUGGGUUUAAAUAACUAGUAUAUUACAAGAACAAUCCUUGUUCUAAACUUUAACAAAUUAUCUGUUGAAGGAAAAAGAGGCAAAAUGUAAUUGGAGGAAAAAAAAGCUUCUUACACGCCCAAUUUAGUUAAUGGUUAGAGCGAACUCCCAGUUUAUUCAAUCUCUUGUAUUAAUGUAUCUUUCCAGUUAAUUGAGCAGUUUAACUGCCAGUAUUCAAGGGUAUUCACUUCGCUCAGUCAAAACUACGUUUUAGAAAUGGGUUUGAAAAUAUUACUGUCUUCACUAAGUUUUUGGCGAGCCUUUCGUCCCUUCACAAAUUUGAUGAUGUAAAACAUGCCAAAGCACAUUGUUAUGCAAGUUGUGCACGGUAGUCGGAUGGUAAAAAUUUCUUGUUGGACUUGUUCGUUCCCUGUUGCUCUCAAAGCAGAGGAUAGUUUGAAGAUUGAUGUUUUAACAUGGUCAUAUACUUAAAAUGUGAACUCAUCUGUUUCUGAUGAUGUCUUCAUGGACUUGUCCAAAGUUCCAUAGCUGUUGCUAAUGUUGGAACCAGGAAAACAUCUAUUGGAAAUCAGCAGGGUAGGUAAUCCUUUUAUGCAGGGUGAGGAUUUAUUGGGGUGACUGCAGGUAAAAUUCAGUUGGUGUUCACCUAAGAGGAUAUUGGACAGGAUUGCACUUGACUGAUUCUUGGGACCACGCUUUUUUUCUCCACAUCCUGGACAGGCCUGAAAGGCCUGGACAGAGUGGGCAAGAGGAGGAUGGAAGAAGAUUGUCCAGGAUCCAAAGAAAUAGCUUUAGAAUAAAGGGGCAUUUCUUUAAAAGAGGAGGAAUUUCUACAGCCAGAGGGAAGCAAACCUGUGGAAUUUGCUGCCACAGAGGACCGUGGUGGCCAAGUUUUAGGAUGUAUAUAAAGCAGAGAUUGAUACGUUUUGAUUAGAAAGAAGGUUAAGGGUUAUGGGGAGAAAACAGGAGGAUGGGGUUGAAAAGAAUGAGCCAUGAUUGAAUGGUGGAGAAAACUCGAUGGGCCAAACGUUUUAAUUCUGCUCCUAUAUCUUAUGGCCAUCCUAUCAGCUGAAUGAACCAUAUGAACUCUGAGGCAACAAAUUAGAUCAAGCUUGCGCUUCUGUCGAGGUGGAGUGGGCUGUGAGCCCCAACCAGGCCUCAGGCAGUGGAUUCUGAGGCCUGCUCCGUAACAGUCUUUGACAGCCUUUUCUUGUCAAAGGCUUUGUGAAACUAUUUCACAUUUCCCUAUUAAUCAGAAUAAUUAAGAAUUUCAAAUAAAUAUAAAAAGAUAAAAAUCGUUAACACUAAAAAUAAAAAGAAACAGACCAUUAGCUUUUUAAUUCAAAGUUAAUGACCCUCUUCAGUGGAAUGUUGUGCUUCUUAUGUAACCGUCUAUGGCAUAAAGUGACAGACAAGAUAUGAGCUACAUCUUGCCCCUCAGGUUAGUACUUAUGUGCUCAAUCUUUGACUUAGUGCAGCUGAAACCCAUCCAUGCCCCUGACUGCCAGUGCAAGUGCACAAAUGAGAGAGCAGUUGCCAGUGGAAGAGGUGAUUAUUGAUACCAGGUUCAGCUUCAUGUAUUUAUUGCACACACAGAAACCUGCGGUGAAAUGUGCCACUUGCCAAUGCCACCAACACCAACCAAGGACGUGCUGGACGGCAGCCUGCAGGUGUUGCCGCACGUUGGGGCACCAACAUAGCAUGCCCGCCAUGUUAACAGAACAGCACAUGCAACAACAGCAAAAGAAACCCGUUCCCCACCCCCCCCCAUGCACGUGUGCUCAGCCCUCUAGCCCCGGGACAGGCUGUCUCCGGGCCUCUAACAGAUGGUGAAAUCUGGAGUAACACACAACCUGCAGGAGGAACUCAGCAGCAUCCAUGGGAGGAACGGAAUUGUCACGUUUUGGGUCUAACCCUGCCUCAGGACGGAUAGGAAGGAAAAUUUCUUCGAAGUCAGCGUACCGUGAAGAGACUUUGCGGUGGAGUAGUAAGCUGGAGACACAGGGGCCUGUAGGUGUUGGAUUCUGUGGCAGCAAACAAUCCGCUGGCAGAAAUCAGAAGACUGAGCAGCAGCCAUUGGAGGAAAGGCUUGGGAAGUGUUUUUUGGCCUUUAGAGCAAAAGAGGUUGUAGUUUUAAAAAAAUGGGGAGGUUUACUAACAGUUGUACUGAGUAAUGAUUAGGCCACACCUAGAAUUCUGAGUGCGGUUUUGGCCCCCUCCCCUAUAAAGGAUACACUAGCGUUGGGGGCAGUUAAAAUAUGAUUCACCAGGAUCUCGAACAUAGAACAUUACAGCAUAGUACAGGCCCUUCGGUUCACGAUGUUGUGCUGACAUUUUAAACUAGUCUAGGAAUUUCUGGGAUGAGAAGGGUGUCCCAGCAAGAGAGACUACAUGAUUUGAGCCUGUAUCCUUUGCAAGAAUGAGAGGUGAUUUUACUGAAACGUGUAAGAUCCGAAGGAGGUUUGACAGGGUAGUUAAUGAGAUAUUUUCACUAGCGGGAGUGUGAUGAACAAGGAGAUAUGAUUAGGGGCUGGCCAUUUAAAACUGAGGUACGGUAGAUAAAUAUUCCAUUGAUUGAAGAGUCUAAGGACAUGGAGAAAUGGCACAGAAAAGGAGGUGAUACCAUUCUUGAUCAGCCAUGAUCACGGUGACUGACAGGACAGGCCUGAGGGACCUGGUGGCCUACUCCUGGUCCUGCUUUCUUGCUUUCUGCUAGAGGAGGUGGGAAUAUGGGGUGAGAAGGUGAGAAAUAGCUGUAAUAUCAGUAGGAACCCAUUAGCCAUUAGCAAGAGUUGCCUGCUUUCUUGAGCCAUGUAAUCCGAGCUGUUCCGUCAUCCAGCUCGUCAAGUGAACAAAGCAAUCCUAUAAUAGUACUUGACCUACAAACCCAUUCCAGUCCUGACCUGAAUUCUCCUGGUUAAAGUUUACCCCUCAACAAAAGUCUGAAAUGGAAGACUAGUUUACUGCAAUCAGAAACAAGAGAAAAUCUGCAAAUGCUGGGAAUCCAAG